rnacentral:tRNA from 1 species
GGGGUUGUGGCUCAGUGGUAGAGCACUUGCCUAGCAUGCAUGAGGAACUGGGAUCAAUCCUCAGCACCACA